rnacentral:rRNA from 1 species
AGCUCCAAUAGCGUAUAUUAAAGUUGUUGUGGUUAAAAAGCUCGUAGUUGGAUCUCGGCGGUCUGAGGGCGGUUCGCUUGAUUGAGUGCUACUGCUCUAUAGGCCGUGGUUUUGCCAGAGGUCUCGGGGUGCUCUUAACCGAGUGUCCUGCGAUGCUGGCAGGUUUACUUUGAAAAAAUUAGAGUGCUCAAAGCAGGCUUUUACGCCUGAAUAUUCGUGCAUGGAAUAAUAGAAUAGGAAGUCGUUUCUAUUUUGUUGGUUUGAGGGACUAUGGUAAUGAUUAAUAGGGAUAGUUGGGGGCAUUAGUAUUUAAUUGUCAGAGGUGGAAUUCUCAGAUUUGUUAAAGACUAACUUAUGCGAAAGCAUUUGCCAAGGAUGUUUUCA